rnacentral:rRNA from 1 species
GAUGAACGCUAGCGGCAGGCUUAACGCAUGCAAGUCGAGGGGUAUAGUUCUUCGGAGCUAGAGACCGGCGCACGGGUGCGUAACGCGUAUGCAAUCUACCUUUUGCAGAGGGAUAGCCCAGAGAAAUUUGGAUUAAUACCUCAUGGUAUGUGAGAAUGGCAUCAUUUUCACAUUAAAGUCACAACGGCAAAAGAUGAGCAUGCGUCCCAUUAGCUAGUUGGUAAGGUAACGGCUUACCAAGGCAACGAUGGGUAGGGGUCCUGAGAGGGAGAUCCCCCACACUGGUACUGAGACACGGGCCAGACUCCUACGGGAGGCAGCAGUGAGGAAUAUUGGACAAUGGGCGCAAGCCUGAUCCAGCCAUGCCGCGUGCAGGAUGACGGUCCUAUGGAUUGUAAACUGCUUUUGUACAGGAAGAAACACUGGUUCGUGAACCAGCUUGACGGUACUGUAAGAAUAAGGAUCGGCUAACUCCGUGCCAGCAGCCGCCGUAAGAC